rnacentral:rRNA from 1 species
AGAGUUUGAUCCUGGCUCAGAUUGAACGCUGGCGGAAUGCUUUACACAUGCAAGUCGAGCGGCAGCGCGGGGCAACCUGGCGGCGAGCGGCGAACGGGUGAGUAAUGCAUCGGAACAUGUCCAUGUCGUGGGGGAUAGCCCGGCGAAAGCCGGAUUAAUACCGCAUACGCUCGAGAGAGGAAAGCCGGGGACCGCAAGGCCUGGCGCGAUUGGGUUGGCCGAUGUCCGAUUAGCUAGUUGGUGAGGUAAAGGCUUACCAAGGCGAUGAUCGGUAGCUGGUCUGAGAGGAUGAUCAGCCACACUGGGACUGAGACACGGCCCAGACUCCUACGGGAGGCAGCAGUGGGGAAUUUUGGACAAUGGGGGCAACCCUGAUCCAGCCAUUCCGCGUGAGUGAAGAAGGCCUUCGGGUUGUAAAGCUCUUUUGUCCGGAGCGAAACGGAAGUGGUGAAUAUCCACUUCUACUGACGGUACCGGAAGAAUAAGCACCGGCUAACUACGUG